rnacentral:tRNA from 2 species
GGGCCUAUAGUACAGUGGUAGUACACCGCAUUCGCAUUGCGGGGGCGGCAGUCCGAUUCUGCCUAGGUCCA